CCAUGCCUGGUCUAGAUAUACUGCUCUCAACCUGAGUUGAGUUUCAGACCCAGUAUUGAAAGCAUAAACAUUUCAAUGCGGUGCUGGAGGCUGCUCGAGUGUUUGCUCUCCCUCUCACUAAAUAUUAGGAGAUGGGGCUUCCUAUCUCUCCCCCCACUCCGACCCCACGUCGAGGCUCCUUAUGGUGUAAAUAUAACCCCCACAUUCCCCCCCCCCCCCCAGGCGCCAUCCCUUUUUAAAAGAGUCAACCUACAGCUGGGAGAGAAAAAAGAGGGGGAAGAAACCGAUUAAGAAUUUGCCAACGCCGUUUGCCAGACUUCAAAGCCGUCCUCGCUUGUCUGCCAUUAAGAGCCUCACACCAAGAUUGCCACAAAGGUUUCCCCCCCCCCCUUUCAAGAUGUCAGAAUCCCCCACCCCUUAAAAAGAAAAUGAAUGACACCCAUUAUGAGAAGAAGGUACUUUGCAAAGCUUUUGAAGCCUAGGAGGGAUUUGACAUCAGCUGGCUCUCCCCAAGCCAGAGAAUGCACCAAUCCUAAUAAUAAUAAUAAUAGUAAUAAUAAUAAUAAUCACAUAACAAUAAUAGUAAUAACAAUAAUAACAAGCAGUAAGAAAUGGAAGGCACAAAUGUCCAAGAGGACAUGUCCAAAUGUCCAAAUGUCCUCUUCCCUUGGAUGUCUCACUUUACAUUACCAAACCAGAAAAUUUGAGAGUAAACAGUAUAAAUUAGCCAAUAUGUUAUCGAAGGAUUUCAUGGCCGGAAUAACUGGGUUGCUUUGAGUUUUCCGGGCUGUAUGGCCAUGUUCCAGGAGCAUUCUCUCCUGACGUUUCGCCCACAUCUAUGGCAGGCAUCCUCAGAGGUUGUGAGGUGUGUUGGAAACUAGGCAAGUGAGGUUUAUAUAUCUGUGGAAUAAUGUCCAGGGUGGGAGAAAGAACUUUUGUCUGUUGGAGGCAAGUGUGAAUGCUGCAUUUGGCCACCUUGAUUAGAAUUGAAUGGCCUUGCAGCUUCAAAGCCUGUCUGCUUUCUGCCUGGGGGAAUCCUUUGUUGGGAGGUAUUAGCUGGCCCUGAUUGUUUCUUGUCUGGAAAUCCCCUGUUUUCAGAGUGUUCUUUCUUUACUGUCCUGAUUUUAGAGUUUUUUUUUUUUUUUAAAAAAUACUGGUUUCCAGAUUGUGUUCAUUUUCAUGGUUUCCUCCUUUCUGUUGAAAUUGUCCACAUGCUUGUGGAUUUCAGUGGCUUCUCUGUGUAGCCUGACGUGGUGGUUGUGAGAGUGGUCCAGCAUUUCUGUCUUCUCAAAUAAUAUCCUGUGUCCAGGUUGGUUCAUCAAGUGCUCUGCUAUGGCUGAGCCACUCAGGCAGGACUUGGGGUGCAUCUACACUGCAGAAUUAAUGUAGUUCUAGACCACUUUAACCUCCAUUUCUCAAUGCUAUGGAAUCUUGGGAGUUGUAGUUUUAUAAGUUCUUUAGUUUUCUUUGCCAAAGAGUGCUGCCGGUGUUCCACCAAACUACAACUCCCAGGAUUGCAUAGCAUGGAACCAUGGCAGUUAAAGCAGUGCCAUUCAUUCCACACACACACACUAUCACCACAACACCUCCCUCCCCCUCUGUUUAUCCGAGUUCGGCUCAAGAGAAAGGGCAAGUAGUGACACACCCUUCCACCUCCAGUUCCCUUUCCAUCAGGGCUGCAUCUAGGUUGAAUGUAUGAAUGCACUGGGUUGUUGUAGUAUGAAUGCAUUGGGUUGCUGUGAGUUUUCCGGGCUGUAUAGCCAUGUUCGAACCCCGGUGGCGAAGUGCGUUAAAGCACUGAGCUGGAGACCGAAAGGUCCCAGGUUCAAACCCUGGGAACGGCGUGAGCGGCCGCUGUUAGCUCCAGCUCCUGCCAACCUAGCAGUUCGAAAACAUGCCAAUGUGAGUAGAUCAAUAGGUACCGCUCCGGCGGGAAGGUACGGUGCUCCAUGCAGUCAUGCCGGCCACAUGACCUUGGAGGUGUCUACGGACAACGCCGGCUCUUCGGCUUAGAAAUGGAGAUGAGCACCAACCCCAGUCAGUCAUGACUGGACUUAACGUCAGGGGAAAACCUUUACCUUUACUAUAGCCAUGUUCCAGAAACAUUUUGUCUUAACGUUUCACCUGCAUCCUCAGAAGUUUUGAGGAAAACUGGGCAAGAGGGGUUUAUAUAUCUGUGGAAAAUCCAGGGUGGGAUAAAGAACUCUUGUCUGUUUGUGUGAAUGUAGCAGUUGGCCACUUUGAUUCGCAUUGAAUGGCUAAUCUUGCCCAGUUUCCAACAGACCUCACAACCUUUGAGAAUGCCUGCCACAGAUGCGGACGAAACGUCAGGAGAGAAUGCUUGUGGAACAUGGCCAUGAAGCUCUGAAAACUCACAACAACCCAUUGAUCCGGCCAUGAAAGCCUUCGACAAGAGUAUGAAUGCAGUUCGAGACCUAUUGAACUGCAAAGCCUCAAUGCUAUGGAAUCGCAGGAGUUGUAGCUCAUUGAGGCAGCAGCAUUAUUUGGUAGAGAGAAGGCUAAAGGCCUUUUGAAACUACAACUCCCAGGAUUCCAUAGCAACCUCCAUUCCAUGGAGGUUAAAGUGGUGUCAAAGCUGCAUUAGUUCUACAAUGUGGAUGUAGAUGUGGAUGCAUCCUUGGUGUGUACACAUAGAGACCCCUCCCAAUCCAAACCAGGGUUGGACUCAAGAGACAGGGCAAAGGGCCAGUCUAGGAAAGUGGCAUCUCCUUCUGUUUCCAGCCAGGCAGCCCUUUACCCUCUCCGGCUCCAAAGGGACCUUGUCACGCGUGUUCCUCGGAACCCACGCGUUCAGCGAGAGGGGGGCAAGGGAGAGGAGCAGCAGCAGCAGCAGCAGAGCCUGCGAGGGAGAGAGCUCAAGAUGUUUAAGAGGCCUCAAAAAAGACAAAUGAAAGAACAAAAUCAAGAAAAGCAAUAACAACCCAACGAAACAAUCAGAAGCAGAGUGGCAAAAAACCUUGGAAAAUCCCUGGAAGUAGCCAGCCAGCAACAGAGGGGAAACACCACCAUCUUUACUCCAUUAUCUCAUCCCCUUCUGGUCAAGUCUGUGACCACAACCAAGAGAAAAACUAUCAAAAGAGGUGGCAGUACUGGUAUGCGGCAGGUACUGGCUUGUUCAGCAGACUCUCCUCUACAGUUGCAUUUGAUGAGAAGCCUUAGCAUUGAACGGUUGUGCUGUUAAAGUGCGAAGUAUGGAACCCUGCACAGACGGUCGGUCAAUGAGACUUAAGCAACGUGUAGUCAUUGAAUUCUUGACAGCAGAAGGUGCCACCCCAAAGGAGAUUCAUCAGAGCAUGCAAGCUGUUUAUGGCGAUUGUGUUGAUGUGAGUACUCUGCAUCACUGGGCGAGUAAGUUUAAAGAUGUUGAGGUGGGAAUAUCUGACUUGCAUGACAAACAAAGAGUUGGACGUCCUGUGACAGCAACCACCGAGUUUCACAAGCAAAAGGUUGACAGAUUGAUUCAGGACGAUUGUUGUAUCACUCAGAGAGAAAUUCCAAGCAUAAUCGACAUUUCAGAAGAAUGUGUGGGCCACAUUAUUGCUUUGCUUGGCUAUCGGAAGAUCUAUGCAUGGUGGGUACUGUGAGACACUGGUUGCAGAAACAGAGUGUCGACUUCUUCCGUGACGGCUUUAGAAAACUUGUUCAUCGUUGGCAGAAAUGUAUCCAAUUGUCUGGUGAUUAUGUGGAAAAGUGAAUAGUGGUAGUUAAAGAGCACAUUCUAAGGAUUAUUUCUGCAUUUGAUUUAUUAAAAUAUUCCCAUCCAAAUCUAAGUAACAAAGGUGGAGGCAUUACUUUUCAUUCAACCCUCGUAUAUGAGGGCCCUAGCUUCUUUUGUGUGUGGGUAUGGUCCUAGGACAUGCUCAAGAAUUCAGAUCCUAAUUUUUAAGGGCAAAAAUCCAGAGAAAAAUCACUCCAGAAUGACCCUAGAUCACCCAAACUGCUCCUGCUCCAACAAUGUGAACAUUUUGGGUUACUUGAAACCCACUACUUAUACUACCCAGAAAAAAAUGAUUUUAAAAAUCCAGCUGCUUUUUAGCCAAAAUUUAUCCCUGAAAGUAAAAAUAACAUCACUUGGGGUGCCUUGUUACCAGGGAAGUAGGGAGGCAGGGGGGGGGGGGGGGGCAAAAGAAAUGGCUUUUCCUUCCAUUGCAGCUUCCCAGAAAAAGUAACUAUAGGCUUCUGCUAAAUACAAGUAUGGGCCUAAACUAUGUGUCUACAAAUGAAAAAUAAAAGAAAUGAAGUAGUCUUUUACGCAAAUCGAAAACUAUAGUCUAAACAGAUGUUUCAAGCUGUAGAUAUGUAAUUGUGAAAAUAACUAGAAAAACAAGAAAAUGCAGUUAAUGGGCAUUUAUGGCCCAAAUCAUGAGAAAUUAACAAUUUAUGAAAAUGUAUUAAGAAAGGCAUUAGAAUUGGCCUUACUAAAUCUGAUUUGGAUGAACCAUUGGAGUGGAGUUGUUGAUCUUCAUAAAGAUAAAUAUUUUACUAAAGGAAUAAAGGAAGAUCAAGGGAGACUACCCAAAAGCUUUAAAAAAGGAUACAGAUUAUUUUUGAUCAAUAGAUAGUUGGAGAAAUUUGUAGGCAAAUUCCAGAGAUUAUAUUCAUUAUGAAUCCCUUUCUAGAAUACAAAUGGCCAAUAUAGUAAAGAGGAUGGGCAUUUCACCCAAAAUGUUCUCAGGCCAUAUUCCCACCACAAUGUUUUGGAAAAUGGAGCAAAUGCAGUUAAAUGGAGACUUAAUGAAUACCUACUUCUGAAGAGAGAAAUAUUACAAUAGUGCAAAUAAGAAUUGAGGCAAUUCAUUGAGCUGAAUUUAAAUAAGAAUACAGACUCCACAAUACAUUGAGAUGCAAGUAAAGCUUAUAUGAGAUGACAAUUUAUCAAAUAUGGAUCCAGGCUGAAAAAAAGACAGAAACCCAUGAUCUAAAUUUAUAAAAUGUUCUUUGUGUAGUAAUUUAAAAGAAAACCUAUAUAGGAUGGUGCAGAUUUGGUACCUCACCUCAACAAAGAUUUUGAAAAUGCAUACUGUUUCAAAUUAAUUUUGGGGAUGUCAAGAGGAGGGGGAUUAUUUUUUCCUUACAGAAUGGACUUUAAAGAUGGCAAAAAGUUAAAAGUCUUAGGAUUUACAUGAAGAAGAAGCAGAUACAUUUUGUAGUGUCACCAGAAAUAUUCUUGCUGGAACUGGACACUGGACAGUAAAUAUGGAUUAAAUAUUCAAUAUAUGAUAACAGCAACAAAGACAUUGUUAGCACAAACCCAGAAAUAUAUUGAAGUAUCAAUGAUAGAAGAAUGAAUUGUUAAGAUUGCCAAGUUAGCCCAAAUUGCCUAAGUAAUGUGGGUUUUUAAAGAAUAAACCAAUUGAAGGCUUUUUAAAAGAUUGGAAACAGUUUAUGGACUUUUUAAGUGACAAGAAAUCUAACGAUGCAAUAAUCAAUGGUUAUGGUUACUAAUAAUUUUAGUAGAACUAUUUAGUUUAAUAUGUAAUGGUAGAAUAAUAUCCCCCCCUUUCCCCAGUUUAUUACAGUUUGAUGGGGAAGAAGUCAGAGUCCUAUUAUGUUUUGCAUUUUAGUAUUGUGUUCUAGUUUUAGUUACGGUAUAUAUUUUCUUAUUUUUUUUUAAAUAUUGCCUUGUGAAUUAAGUUGUUUUUGUUAAAAAAAACAAUAAAGAAUUAACUCACUGAAGUUUUUAAUUAUUUUUUCUGAUUAACUGAAGUUUGACAUGUGGGUUGAACCUGGAAAUGUUUGAUCUUACCUAUGGUUAAUUGAAACAAACCAUAGUUAGGAAUAAUUACAGUCUGAAUCAGAUCGAGAACUGUGGUUGAUCUGACACUAAAUCAGAUACUUUUGAACUUCUCCUGGUAACUAUGCCUGAGACCAAGGUUAAGGACAGACUAAUGCACACUGUAGCUCAUUAUUGCAAUGUAAAAAGAUGUUUUCAUAUGCCAGUGAUAUUUUGUGUUAAGAUAUAAACAGCAUAUUCUGUGAGUGAUUUUUGCGGAGUUAUGCUAAUCUUUGUACUGCAGGAGAACAGAAUUGACAUGAUAAAACCAUAAACUCCUAAAAUCCCCCAUUUAGGCUCUAUUUCAUGCCCCGUUUUAGCCCAAUUUCUGAAUUUUGAGAGUUAUCUAAUUUUUAUUUAUAUGAUUGAUUGGUUGAUUAGUAGACUGAUUGAUUGACUAUGAAAAUACCAAUCUCAUUUCUUUGUUACAUGGUAAACUUGAAUUAUAAUAAAUCAUAAAGCAUAUUAAGGAGUUGUAAAGAAUAUUGAGAUCUUUAGAGGAGACCUAACUUGUAUAGAUGUUCGCAUUCUUCAUCUUACAAAAUAUAGAGAUCAAAUGCCCCAAAGCCCUACAGAAACACGGUUUACGAUGGAUGAGAUAACACCUGUACAAGUUAGGCCC